UGGGGGAUAUUGCACAAUGGGCGAAAGCCUGAUGCAGCGACGCCGCGUGGGGGAUGAAGGCUUUCGGGUUGUAAACCUCUUUCGCUAUCGAACAAGGCCCGCUUAGGGUGGGUUGAGGGUAGGUGGAGAAGAAGCGCCGGCUAACUACGUGCCAGCAGCCGCGGUAAUACGUCGGGCGCGAGCGUUGUCCGGAAUUAUUGGGCGUAAAGGGCUUGUAGGCGGCUUGUUGCGCCUGCUGUGAAAACGCGGGGCUUAACUUCGCGCGUGCAGUGGGUACGGGCAGGAUUGGGGGUGGUAGGGGUGACUGGAAUGCCAGGUGUAGAGGUGGAAUGCGCAGAUAUCUGGAGGAACACCGAUGGCGAAGGCAGGUCUCUGGGCCAUUACUGACGCUGAGGAGCGAAAGCAUGGGUAGCGAACAGG
rnacentral:rRNA from 1 species